CGGAUAUCCCGUGAGAGGGAACAGUGGUGCGCGUCUCUGGGAGGAGGGGCGGUGGAGGCGGGGACCUGGCGGAGCGGGUUAGCAGCUGCUCCGUCGGCGAUGGAGGGCUCUUACAGCUGUUCAGGGCUGUUGCUGCGCUCCUACCGCCAAGCCGAGCUGGACAACUGGCAGCGGAGGAGAUGAGACCUGGGGAUAGAAGCCGCUCAGUCCGGGGCGGAUGGUGUAGCUAUAGCCGCGCGAGCUUCAAGCUGCUCCGGGCAGGGGGCGCAGAGGCUAGCGGAGCAGGGUAGCGGCCGGGGGAGGCUGGGCUUGGAUAGUCGUUAAACUGGGGAAACGGCGGGUUUUCGCUACCUCAGGAAGAAACGGUGCAGAAAACUGUGGUGGCUGCAGUCUGGGUGUCUGUGUUUGGCUGCGUUCUCACUGUAGAUUUGCUUGUGAAUGGAGAAGCUGGAGCACUGGGGCCAAUACGCCCUUUUUAAACUUUCUCCUCCCCUGCCCCUUCUCCCCCCCACCCCCACCGGUUGGAGGAGAGGAGUGGAAAGUGGUGCGAGUUGCCUGUCGGUCCAGCCCCCAGUCUCUUAGGGUUCCCCAGCCAGAACUGUAGUAGUAUAUAUGAAUUAUAUGUACUAUAUCCCCAACAUGUGGGAGAUAUAAUCCUCUUCCCUUUGGUUGGGUCUUACAACCUCACCCUUUGUUAAUUUCCUGUUUGCCUCCCAGUGCCUGACAGCUCCCCAGCUCGGGGUUUGAUAUGUUUGUUGAUUGCCUUUUCCUCCCGUCCUCCCCUUUUCCCCCUUUUUGUUUGCUCUGAUACAUCUGAGUCUUUCUUCAUCUACCCCACAUCCUGGGAAGAGGACUGGGUUGGGGGUACGACCAGCCUCUCCCCCCGACUCCGUCCUGGGGAGGGCAUAGUGAUAAUGAUCACCAAUACCCGGGGAUUCCUGUGGUCUGACUUGGAGACCCGUGCCCUCCUGGGCAUCUGGGGCGAAGGAGGCGUUCAUUCGGCUCUAGCUGGCAGUUUUUGGAACGGCCACGUGUACUGGGACGUGGCCUGCAGCGUAGGGGAAAUGGGUUUCGACUGGACCUUGAAGCAGCGCGGGAUCGGCUUCAAAGGCAGUACAACCUGGGAAAGGACCGCUUCCAGAAGAGCGGGCAUACAAGAUCUGCACGUCCCCAGACUGUUCUGAGCAGGACCUGUGCGCAGGCGAUGGUCCUGCUGCAGCCUUCGCGACAGGCGUGAGAGGCAGCUGCCUAGGAGUGGUGGACUACAGAGUCUUAGAGAGAAUGGAAGAGAAGAUGGACAGGGGCAGGCUGGAGCCUCCCCAUGAGAACUUGGUGGGCAAGUGCUCUUCCUUUGCCAAGGGCCCCAUCGAAGUGGAGCGUCUCCCUUCUAGCCGUCCAGGUGCUGCCCAAAUGUGGCUUUAAGACCAACAUAUUACCUCUGCCUCAGUGGAAAAGAUAAAAAAUACCACCAUGCCAACAUGAUGCUGGACAAAACGAUGGAGAAGUUCUUGCAACAAAGUAUGAAUAUAGAAGAAAAGUUGCACAGAUGUGAGGAGCUGAGGCUUAGAAUCGAGGACAAGAGUCGAGAAACUGAACAUGCUUAAGAGUGUGGAUGUUGCAAGUAUUGGGACAGAUGUUAGCUGCAGUUUCUUCAACCGUGUCACAAAGGUCACAGUCCAGACCACCCAGUCCACCUCAUAGAGCAACCUUAUCCAUCCUAUUCAAAGAACAUUAAUUAUAAUGCUAUGGCAGCAACACGUUUUCCACUGAUAGGUACUGCAUUUUGCAGUAUGGCUAAAGAGUGUUUUUGUUUUGAAAAGCAUUUACGAUUAUCCUUUCCACAUUGAGGUGGGGGUAGGGGCAGUUAGUAGUAUGGCACUCCAUGCCAUCUGCAAAAUCCACACAAAAUUUUUUGGCCCUCUCUUUGUAUCAGAGAAGAAGUCUGAAUUUUUUCUUUUUCUUUUAUGGAGUAUUUACAGAACCUUAUUGUGAAAUUUGGGUUAAAUUUUUGGUCAUAGGCCCUGUGUCGUCUGUUGGCCUUUUCAUGUUGUCUGCGGCUUCCGCAAAACUCCCAAAAAAUUCCCAUUUAAUUUCUUAGGCCAUCCCAUGAUAUAUCGAAACCUCAGUGGGGGAAAGUCGAGAUGUGGAAGGGAUAACUGUAGUGAUCCAGGUUUUCUAGUCCUAAUGGAGGGAAGUGAAAGGGUAAUUGAAUAUUGGAUUGUGAUUUAUGUACUUUCUUUUUGUAUUUGAUAUAAAAUAUUUCAUGCCUUGUCUAGUGCUGAUUUUUCAGAGCAAAUGAGAUUUACAUUAUUAGUAAUAAAGGCAAGUAUUAUACGAUGUAAGCCCAUUAUAAAUCUAGCAGAAGGUGCUUGUCUAAGAAAUUUAUUACCCACUAGUCUGUUCCUUAAUUCCUCUUGUUAGUGCCAAGAAUAAAAGAAGAAAUUUUCCAAAUUUGAAUUUUCCUUUCAGGGUAUUUUUCAUCUGAGGCUGUUUGUUAUAAAUGUUAAAAGGCCAACAUCAAGUAAUAAAUUAAGCUCUAACCAAA